rnacentral:rRNA from 1 species
GAUGAACGCUGGCGGCGUGCCUAAUACAUGCAAGUCGAGCGAACAGACGAGGAGCUUGCUCCUCUGACGUUAGCGGCGGACGGGUGAGUAACACGUGGAUAACCUACCUAUAAGACUGGGAUAACUUCGGGAAACCGGAGCUAAUACCGGAUAAUAUAUUGAACCGCAUGGUUCAAUAGUGAAAGACGGUUUUGCUGUCACUUAUAGAUGGAUCCGCGCCGCAUUAGCUAGUUGGUAAGGUAACGGCUUACCAAGGCAACGAUGCGUAGCCGACCUGAGAGGGUGAGCGGCCACACUGGAACGGAGACACGGUCCAGACUCCUACGGGAGGCAGCAGUAGGGAAUCUUCCGCAAUGGGCGAAAGCCUGACGGAGCAACGCCGCGUGAGUGAUGAAGGUCUUCGGAUCGUAAAACUCUGUUAUUAGGGAAGAACAAAUGUGUAAGUAACUGUGCACGUCUUGACGGUACCUAAUCAGAAAGCCACGGCUAACUACGUG